rnacentral:tRNA from 1 species
CCUGAUAUCAUCUAGUGGUUAGGACACCAGGUUCUGAGUCUAGCAUCCUGGUAACCCCGGUUCAAACCCGGGUAUCAGGU